rnacentral:snRNA from 1 species
AUCUGUAGCUCAGGGGAGAUACCAUGAUCACAAAAGUGGUUUCCCUAAAAUGAGGCUUAUUCCACAUGGAUUAUACUGACUCCUGUGAUUUUCCUAAUUGUCGGAAACUCGACUACAUUGUUUGAGGUGGUAGGGAACUGUAGUCCCAG